CUGGUAAAAUAUUUUUUUUAUACCCUAGUGUAAAAGCUAGGCAUGUAACGUUAUUUAACUUAUCUUAGUGUAUGAUAUGAAAAGUUAUCAAGGCUUGUUAUGUAGUUAUCUAGUACAUUCACUAACUAUUAGUAAUAAUAAUUGCUUAGCUAGCCAAUGAAAGCAAUUCGAGCAAGUGGCUCGCGCGACGGGAAUUUAAAUUUUGUCGGUUGGGAUUUAAAUUUUAACGGUACAUUUAAUUAGUUAGCUAGCUUAACUAGCUGCCUAGGGUUAACAAAAUUUGUCAUUUUUAACGUUUUUGCUUAAUUAUGUCAAGUUUAAGAUGGUAAAUAAGUUGUUUUCUGUGAUUUAAAAGCUUUUUAACCAUCUGUUUUUGUAGCUUAAGCAGAUUUUUGCUGAGGUAACUUUUAGUCAAAAGUGACGGCUAGAGCGUCGUCGUUGCUCUUGCGGUAACGUUACGCUAGUUUAGAGAGUUUUCUUCGUAUUUAGGGGGCCAGUGUAAUGUACUUGGGCCGGUUGCCAGCUGUCUGGGUCAGACACGUUUCAGACACCCAGCCAGACUCAACUACUCCACUCUGCCGUCUGGGGUUUUUGGUUCAUUUCUUUCAGAGGCAGUGAAAUGUGGAGCCGGUGCUUUUCUAGCGCUGCUGCCUUCGCGUUAACGCAGGCUGCUUCUAACAGAGUAGUUUGGGUUAAUUUCCUAACUUCUCGCAGAGAUUUGGCAUUUUUCUCCUUCUGGUUGACACUUCGAAUGAUCAUCAUUGCUACUCUAAGGGCAGCCAAAUGGAUAAUUCAAGACAACCUCCAAAUAUAGAUCUGCUGCUUUGGAAUUACUUGAAGUAAUUUGCCUGUAUGGAUUCUUGCACCACUCAUGGCUGACCCAAGUUCAGAGGCAGAUGCAAGUCAAGUCUGGAGGCUCAGACUUACCAAAGACUUUUGAACCCUGGAUCACUCACAGACUUAAAGGUGAAGUUCAAGAAUAUCAAGGAUGCUCAUCCUCAUGGGCGUGUUAUGGUGCAAGGCUGGAUUGACUGAAGUGUUUUAAUUCUCGUGUAGCUCCCCCACCCCCCUCCCCCACCCCAUGUCAGAUCUUCUCUAAAUUAUGGAAAUUUUUUGGAAGACGCUGACUUGGAUAUUGAGCCUGCUCUUGGCCGCUGCUGAUCCUCAGAGCCUUUCGUACACUUCUCAAGGUAAGAACAUUUCAGA
rnacentral:lncRNA from 1 species